CCUACGGGGUGCAGCAGUAGGGAAUCUUUCACAAUGGGCGAAAGCCUGAUGGAGCAACGCCGCGUGCAGGAUGAAGGCCUUCGGGUUGUAAACUGCUUUUAUAAGCGAGAAAUAUGAUGGUAACUUAUGAAUAAGGAUCGGCUAACUACGUGCCAGCAGCCGCGGUCAUACGUAGGAUCCGAGCAUUAUCCGGAGUGACUGGGUGUAAAGAGUUGCGUAGGUGGCAUAAUAAGUAGCUAGUGAAAUCUGGUGGCUCAACCAUUCAGACUAUUAGCUAAACUGUUAAGCUCGAGACCGUUAGGGGUAACUGGAAUGUCUAGUGUAGGAGUGAAAUCCGUAGAUAUUAGAAGGAACACCAAUAGCGUAGGCAGGUUGCUGGGACGGUUCUGACACUAAGGCACGAAAGCGUAGGGAGCAAACGGGAUUAGAUACCCGAGUAGUC
rnacentral:rRNA from 1 species